GACUCACAGCUUUCUCCUCCACCCAUCCCCUUCUCCCACACCAUCUCCCUCUCCCUCUCUCUGUUCUUGUAAUUGAGACAGUCCAGAUUGCAUGCUGAUCAGAAAGAGGGAAGCAGCUGCUAUCUCAUCCUCAUGCAGGGUCAAUGGGACUCUGCAAUCUAUUCCAGGGGACUAGGUGGGGGAUACACUGGAUACGGUGCCAAACCACUGGUGUGUACAAUCACACACCAUGGGCAAUUUAGAGAUGACAAUCAGCCUAGAACACUUCCAAGUCUUUGAAUUGGAAAUUGGAGUACACAAAGGAAACCCCCAAGCAAACAUCAUGAACACAGGGCAGAAGUGGAAAUUGAACCCCAACCCAAAAGCUCAGAGUGGUGCAUACUGGGCUGUAGAUGCAGAUUGGGACAUGUUUUGGGAAUAAAAAAAUAAAACUAAAAUGGAGAAACAUAACCACACACUGUUCCUUUGGACAAUCCCAAUGAUCAUUAAUACACAUUUGAACCAAAACUAAAGGAACAUUUGAUUAGUUUGUACCAAACAGGCUAGAUAAGCCCCGAGAUGACCAGGGUAGAACAGAAUUUGUGUCCUGCAAGUAUUCGGGGUCAUUUUCUUACUAUCUAAUCUCAAGGCUUAACCUCCAGAGAGAGAUCUGGAGAUCUGAACUAAAAUAUCCUGCUUAGCAGAAUUCACAAGAGGCCCCAUAACCAUAAAAUAGAAAACAUGAUGUUUGUAUGUGGCUACUUUCUUCCUUUUUUUUUUUUUUUUUACUUUUUCUAAAUAUCUUGAUAAUGGUUUACAUGACCAAGAAGAUGAUUUUGC